AUACUUACCUGGAAGGGGUGAUUCCAUAAUAACAUAGGUGGUUUCCCCAGGAUGAGGCUUAUCCAUCAUGCUCUGGAUGGGCAGACCCCUGCAAUUUCCCCAAAUGUGGGAAACUCGACUCCAUAAUUUGUGAUAGUGGGGGAAAGUAUUUGCACUCUCCCCUG